GACAGAGGUGCCGAGCGUUAGGCGGAAUCACUGGGCUUAAAGCGUGUGUAGGCGGGCGGGCAAGUACCUUGUGAAAUCCCACGGCUCAACCGUGGAACGGCUGGGUAUACUGCCUGUCUUGAGCCAACUAGGGGCGAGCGGAACAGACGGUGGAGCGGUGAAAUGCGUAGAUAUCGUCUGGAACGCCAAAGGUGAAAACAGCUCGCUGGGGUUGUGCUGACGCUGAGACACGAAAGCCAGGGGAGCGAACGGG
rnacentral:rRNA from 1 species